GUGAAUACUUUCCAGCUGUGUUGCUUGGACUGCCAGCGAGACUCAAAGCAGUCUAUUUGUUAAGCAUCAGAUCCCUGAUGAAACUAUCAGUCUGCUGUCUGGAUGAUAUCUCAAUGCAGCUUUGAAGACCGUCAGCCUGCCUGUCUCUCCGAUGCCUCUACUCCCCCAGCCUGCUGAGGAAAUGGCUGGCGUAUGGGAACAGGGUCCGUGGGUUGGGAAAGGAAGGCACAUGAGGCUUGGUGUCACGUUCGUCGUACAGAUGGGACCAAGGCGCAGCGGGAAUGUGUGAACUCAUCUUCUUUAUUUAGAAGAAAACGAAAACAAACACUUAAACAAAAAACAACAACGACGAGAAACAGUCCUGUAAGGAACACAGCUUACAUACGGAACAACUACCCACAAAAACCCAUGAAAAAACACCCCUACUAAAUAGGACUUUCAAUUAGAGGCAACGAGAAACAGCUGCCUCCAAUUGAAGGUCAAACCAAUAAACUAAGCAUAGAAAUAGAUAAACUAGACACAGACAUAGAAAUAGACUAACAUAGAACAUUGCCCAACAAACCCCGAAACACAUUAAACAAACACCCCCUGCCACGUCCUGACCAAACUACAAUAACAAAUAACCUCUUUACUGGUCAGGACGUGACACUUGGAGAGUAGAGUGAGUAAUCAUGAAGACAUGCUCAUAUGUAGCGCCUGCUCAUAUGCCCAUCAAUGCCUAACUAAAACUCAAGUGAUAGAAUACUUUAGAACCUUGUCGACAGUACAGAUGUUAUUCUAUACAAUUAUCUUGGGAAUUCAUUAGGCUACAGUAGGUUAUUAUAGGACAGGCUGCCUAAGAUAGUCAUUUAUGUAUCUAUUUUUAGAGGUGUCUAGCCACUUGUCCAUGGAAUUUAUCAAACACAGACAUGAUGGGGGUUUGAGUUACAUCAGCUUCUAGAUUCAGUUAUCUAAAAGGAUGUGAUGUGAAACAAUAUCACAUGACUGCUCUCACAACAGACACCCUUGAGACACGGGACCAUGCAUGUCUAUGCAGAGUCAUUCUGUCCACAUCUGUUAUUCAUUAACAUGUUAGGACCAUUGUUUUGUUUCAGUUUGAUUAAUGGUUGAAACAUGCUUUACAAAUAAAGUUGUUUGUCCACCUG